rnacentral:lncRNA from 1 species
CCCAGUCCCUCGGAGUGAUCUGACGAGACUCUCUGCUGUUGAAAGGCGACGCAUUCUUGCCCCCAUCCAGAUCGCAGGCGUCAGAGACGGAGCUUUUCCAGCUCUCCUGACUGCAAACAGACUUGCCAAUCAAGAUAAGAAACAGGUAAUCUCCAUCAUUGUAAUUUCAAGAAUGAAUUCACCGCUGUAGAUGAAGUUCUUACGGGCGAAAUUUUGAAGGAAAUGAGCUGUCUACUGAGCACGAGCUGGCUGUGCUGCUGGGGGUCCCGGAAUCAUUGGCAGAUUUCAGUUUCUGCGCUUUCGACUUUGACACAGAGUACACGUUGCAGAAAUCAGGUGCAAUUUUCAUCAAAUAACUUGGAACAUCC